ACGGGAGGCAGCAGUGGGGAAUAUUGCACAAUGGGGGAAACCCUGAUGCAGCGACGCCGCGUGAGUGAAGAAAUAUUUCGGUAUGUAAAGCUCUAUCAGCAGGGAAGAAAAUGACGGUACCUGACUAAGAAGCACCGGCUAAAUACGUGCCAGCAGCCGCGGUAAUACGUAUGGUGCAAGCGUUAUUCGGAUUUACUGGGUGUAAAGGGAGCGUAGACGGCAUGGCAAGUCUGAAGUGAAAUGCGGGGGCUCAACCCCUGAACUGCUUUGGAAACUGUCAAGCUAGAGUGUCGGAGAGGUAAGUGGAAUUCCUAGUGUAGCGGUGAAAUGCGUAGAUAUUAGGAGGAACACCAGUGGCGAAGGCGGCUUACUGGACGAUAACUGACGUUGAGGCUCGAAAGCGUGGGGAGCAAACAGGAUUAGAUACCCUGGUA
rnacentral:rRNA from 1 species